GAGAUCCUGCCUAUUUUUUUUUUCUCUCUCUCUCUCUCUCCAAUUGGUUGUGCAAUUUGGUCAUUGUGCCUCGGUGUGUGAAAGAUCUCCGGAUCGGCAGCCUUUCCUGCAACUUUCAGAUUCUGAAAUAUUUGGUGAUCCCUAAGGCUACUCGGAGUGGGGACCCCGAAGCAGCUGACAUCAUUCUCCUC